CACAUCGUUAUUAUGAAGAGCAAAGUUUCAGUAUAUAUAACGGAGACUAAGCGUCUAUGGUCACGACCUUACUUGAACAGGAUCUGUUCUAUAGGCUCGUACCUCUGAUUCCUUUAUUUCUAAGGAGACAGGCCCUUAACCCUGGUUGAUGAACCAUGACCGUGCGAUCAGAGCGUGAUUAACGGCCACGAUCUGUUCUUGGACGCAUCCGGUGCUGUAGAGGAUCGUUACUCGGCUCGGUUCUACCUUGCCGGGGUGGUCGCACGGCGGUCUGACAGGUUUUAUCAUCUACCAUGAAAUAUAAAUUUCAGGUCUUGACAAAAAAGAAGAGCUUAGUGAAGCUGAAGAAAUAUGCAGUAAAGCAGCAGCACAAAUUCAUUAUGGUAGUACCGUAGUAGCAGCAAACAGAGUAACAACGACUAGAAUUCUUGACACAUCGAUAAGCUUAUGGAGAAACGAGUUAUUUAUAUAUGGCCACAAAGCAACAGUGGUCACGACCUUACUUGAACAGGAUCUAUCCUAUAGGACGUACCUCUGUUUCCUUGAUUUCAAAGGAGAUAGGCCCUUAACCCUGGUUGAUGAACCAUGACAGUGCGAUCAGAUAUGUCUUCCGACGCAUCUGGUGCUGUAGAGGAUCGUUACUCGGCUCGGUUCUACCUUGCUGGGGUGGUCGCACGGCGGUCUGACAGGUCCCUUUU